rnacentral:rRNA from 1 species
CCUACGGGAGGCUGCAGUGAGGAAUAUUGGUCAAUGGGCGGAAGCCUGAACCAGCCAAGUAGCGUGCGGGAUGAAGGCCCUACGGGUCGUAAACCGCUUUUGCACGGGGAUAACACGCUCCACUUGUGGAGGUCUGCAGGUACCGUGCGAAUAAGGGCCGGCUAAUUCCGUGCCAGCAGCCGCGGUAAUACGGGAGGCCCGAGCGUUAUCCGGAUUCAUUGGGCGUAAAGGGAACGUAGGCGGGCGUUCAAGUCAGCGGUAAAAUCGACCGGCUCAACCGCGCGCCGCAGUUGAAACUGGGCGCCUUGAGUUCACAACAGGCAGGCGGAAUUCGUGGUGUAGCGGUGA